CGGCGUGUGGCGCAGCCCGGCUAGCGCACUUGCUUGGGGUGCAAGGGGUCGUGGGUUCAAAUCCCGCCACGCCGACUA
rnacentral:tRNA from 1 species